UACAGAGGUGGCAAGCGUUGUUCGGAAUUACUGGGCGUAAAGGGCGCGUAGGCGGUUCGUUAAGUCCUGUGUGAAAUCCCCCGGCUCAACUGGGGAACUGCACAGGAAACUAGCGGGCUUGAGUUCGGGAGAGGGAAGCGGAAUUCCGGGUGUAGCGGUGAAAUGCGUAGAUAUCCGGAGGAACACCGGUGGCGAAGGCGGCUCACUGGACCGGAACUGACGCUGAUGCGCGAAAGCGUGGGGAGCAAACGGG
rnacentral:rRNA from 1 species